rnacentral:lncRNA from 1 species
AAUUGAAGUAAUGUUGUAUUAUAAAUUUAUAAUUUCAUCUUCCUGGCUGAGAGACUGUUCAGCAUUGGGGGUAUGGAGAUGGGAUCCCCCAGCGCGGCAGGUGUGGAAUUCUCAUCUUCAUUCUGUGGGCGAUGAUGAGAUUGGCCUACAAUAUCAGGGCGAGGCCCAAAGUUGGUGUGCACUUGACUGUCUGUUUCUCCUUUCGUGUUGAAGGUUUUAAGAUCUGGGUGGGGGAGAAUGCAUGCAAUCAAUCGGGUCACACAGAUGGCUUGAGUACAGGGAGGGACUGGCCAUUUCGCUGUCCCUCACCUACGUCUAGGGACAGUGAUGCAUGGACUCUGACUCUUGCUGUCAAAUUAACAGUUCAAAUUUAGGACCCUGCUCUGAAGUUAGAG